rnacentral:rRNA from 1 species
GACGAACGCUGGCGGCGUGCUUAACACAUGCAAGUCGAACGGAAAGGCCCUGCUUUUGUGGGGUGCUCGAGUGGCGAACGGGUGAGUAACACGUGAGUAACCUGCCCUUGACUUUGGGAUAACUUCAGGAAACUGGGGCUAAUACCGGAUAGGAGCUCCUGCUGCAUGGUGGGGGUUGGAAAGUUUCGGCGGUUGGGGAUGGACUCGCGGCUUAUCAGCUUGUUGGUGGGGUAGUGGCUUACCAAGGCUUUGACGGGUAGCCGGCCUGAGAGGGUGACCGGCCACAUUGGGACUGAGAUACGGCCCAGACUCCUACGGGAGGCAGCAGUGGGGAAUAUUGCACAAUGGGCGGAAGCCUGAUGCAGCAACGCCGCGUGCGGGAUGACGGCCUUCGGGUUGUAAACCGCUUUCGCCUGUGACGAAGCGUGAGUGACGGUAAUGGGUAAAGAAGCACCGGCUAACUACGUGCCAGCAGCCGCGGUGAUACGUAGGGUGCGAGCGUUGUCCGGAUUUAUUGGGCGUAAAGGGCUCGUAGGUGGUUGAUCGCGUCGGAAGUGUAAUCUUGGGGCUUAACCCUGAGCGUGCUUUCGAUACGGGUUGACUUGAGGAAGGUAGGGGAGAAUGGAAUUCCUGGUGGAGCGGUGGAAUGCGCAGAUAUCAGGAGGAACACCAGUGGCGAAGGCGGUUCUCUGGGCCUUUCCUGACGCUGAGGAGCGAAAGCGUGGGGAGCGAACAGGCUUAGAUACCCUGGUAGUCCACGCUGUAAACGGUGGGUACUAGGUGUGGGGUCCAUUCCACGGGUUCCGUGCCGUAGCUAACGCUUUAAGUACCCCGCCUGGGGAGUACGGCCGCAAGGCUAAAACUCAAAGGAAUUGACGGGGCCCCGCACAAGCGGCGGAGCAUGCGGAUUAAUUCGAUGCAACGCGUAGAACCUUACCUGGGUUUGACAUGGAUCGGGAGCGCCCAGAGAUGGGUGUGCCUCUUUUGGGGUCGGUUCACAGGUGGUGCAUGGCUGUCGUCAGCUCGUGUCGUGAGAUGUUGGGUUAAGUCCCGCAACGAGCGCAACCCUUGUUCACUGUUGCCAGCACGUUAUGGUGGGGACUCAGUGGAGACCGCCGGGGUCAACUCGGAGGAAGGUGGGGAUGACGUCAAGUCAUCAUGCCCCUUAUGUCCAGGGCUUCACGCAUGCUACAAUGGCUGGUACAGAGAGUGGCGAGCCUGUGAGGGUGAGCGAAUCUCGGAAAGCCGGUCUCAGUUCGGAUUGGGGUCUGCAACUCGACCUCAUGAAGUCGGAGUCGCUAGUAAUCGCAGAUCAGCAACGCUGCGGUGAAUACGUUCCCGGGGCU